rfam:Camelus ferus unplaced genomic scaffold scaffold413, whole genome shotgun sequence.
GAGGAUAUAGCUCAAGUGGUAGGGCACAUGCUUAGCAUGCACGACGUCCUGGGUUCAACCCCCAGCACCUCCU